UACGUAGGUGGCAAGCGUUGUCCGGAAUUAUUGGGCGUAAAGGGCUCGUAGGCGGUCUGUCGCGUCGGGAGUGAAAACUCAGGGCUUAACCCUGAGCCUGCUUCCGAUACGGGCAGACUAGAGGUAUGCAGGGGAGAACGGAAUUCCUGGUGUAGCGGUGGAAUGCGCAGAUAUCAGGAGGAACACCGGUGGCGAAGGCGGUUCUCUGGGCAUUACCUGACGCUGAGGAGCGAAAGCCAGGGGAGCAAACGGG
rnacentral:rRNA from 1 species